CGAACACAAAGAAUUCCCACGCAUGUAUUUAUCGCUUGUGCAAUCAUGUGGCAAUAAUGACGAUAUUUAAAAAACCUUGAACUAUCCGAACUGCUCUUAGUACUCUGAUGAAGGUUGCAGUUAGCAACCGAAAAUUUAGAACUUUUUAGACUUUUUAUUGUACAUAUUCUAGUAUUUUAAAAAGAAUUUUAGACCAGCUUCAAC